GCCUGGAUAGCUCAGCUGGCUAGAGCUUGGUGCUUAUAAUGCCAAGGCUGCAAGUUUGAUCAGUCGCAUAUUCCUGGAUUGCAGGGG